GUUAAAGAGUGAUUAUGAAAUCGGCCCUGAUCAUGUCCUGUUCUGAGCUGCCAUUGACAUACAUAAUAUGACGUUACACCACCGUUGCGGCUAAUGUAUUAACUAUUAGCACUAGACCACCGUGGUUUGUUUCAGUAUUAACCCAGAGGAUGUUAGUUUCUGCAUUACCCAGAGGAUGUUAGUUUCUGCAUUACCCAGAGGAUGUUAGUUUCAGCAUUACCCAGAGGAUGUUAGUUUCAGCAUUACCCAGAGGAUGUUAGUUUCAGCGUUAACCCAGAGGAUGUUAGUUUCAGCAUUACCCAGAGGAUGUUAGUUUCAGCAUUACCCAGAGGAUGUUAGUUUCAGCCAUUACCCAGAGGAUGUUAGUUUCAGCGUUAACCCAGAGGAUGUUAGUUUUAGCAUUACCCAGAGGAUGUUAGUUUCAGCACUAACCCAGAAGUUACUGAUUUCAGCACUUACCCAGAGGUGGUUUGUUUUAGCAUUACCCAGAGGAUGUUUGUUUCAGCACUAACCCAGAAGUGCUUGAUUUCAGCACUAACCCAGGGGGUGGUUUGUUUUAGCAUUAACCCAGAGUGUUUUUUUUAGCAUUAACCCAGAGGUUGUUUGUUUCAUCACUAACCCAGAGGUGUUUGGUUUCAGCACUAACCCAGAGGUGGUUUGUUUCUGCACUAACCCAGAGGUGGUUGGUUUCAGCACUAACCCAGAGGUGGUUGGUUUCAGCACUAACCCAGAGGUGGUUGGUUUCUGCACUAACCCAGAGGUGGUUGGUUUCUGCACUAACCCAGAGGUGGUUGGUUUCUGCACUAACCCAGAGGUGGUUUGUUUCUGCACUAAUCCAGAGGUGGUUGGUUUCAGCACUAAUCCAGAGGUGGUUUGUUUCUGCACUAAUCCAGAGGUGGUUUGUUUCUGCACUAACCCAGAGGUGGUUUGUUUCUG
ensembl:lncRNA